rnacentral:rRNA from 1 species
UACGUAGGGUGCAAGCGUUUGUCCGGAAUUAUUGGGCGUAAAGAGCUCGUAGGCGGCCUGUCACGUCGACUGUGAAAACCCGAGGCUCAACCUCGGGCCUGCAGUCGAUACGGGCAGGCUAGAGUUCGGUAGGGGAGACUGGAAUUCCUGGUGUAGCGGUGAAAUGCGCAGAUAUCAGGAGGAACACCAAUGGCGAAGGCAGAUCUCUGGGCCGUAACUGACGCUGAGGAGCGAAAGCAUGGGGAGCGAACAGG